UGGCUUUACAGUGAAGAUAUUUGAAAGAAAAGAGUGAAUGAUAAGAGCAGGAAAAGAUACAAGGAAAAUGUUGGAAUAGAGGCAGAGAAAGACAUUGCCAGGCAAAGUAGACACAGAGGCUGAGGACCCAGCAAUCCCACCAAGAUGGCAAGAGUGGAAGGUGCUCAACCCUCUGAGAAAACAACCCUAUUUUGCCCAGUAAUGUUGCUUGGUCUUCUUGCACGUUCGGUGAUCCACAGAUGACGCUUCAUAAUGGCUUAACAUGGACCACAGCAUGAAUCACAGCAUGAGCUGGAGACCCUACCACAGUGGGCAGUACUGGACAGGUAAGCUGCUGGCAUGAUCACAUCAUAGCCUGGGUAGGACAUAUCAACUCUCAUGCCUGGACCAGAGCCCCCAUGUCCACUCCCAGAAGAUCCACAGCAGGAGGGUGGGCAGCAUUCGGAAGCACACACAGUACGGCAAGACACUUGGGAGCUGCCGUGGGAGACAAGACGGGGUCCUGGAACCGUCAGGGAGCAACCGCCGGGUUGGACAUGCACAGCUGAGGUGUUGCCAGUGUCAACCAACACUCCACCACUGCCGGAACCAGAUCCGCCACCACAUCCAGAACCGCACGAAGUUCCACAACAGGCCAUCUUGAGUGAGAGAGAGGGAUCUGAAACACACAACAGAAUAACAUUGAACAUACAGGAGAGGAUUGGAUGGAUGGACCUCAGGCAUACUCCCAGGCAAUCCAUGAGUACAUAUACACAGUGGAUGGUUGUGCAUCACCCUCCUCCCUGAUAGUCCUGCCAUACUUGUCUGAUCCUUAAGAAAUUAAGCAAUGGAGCUGAGAAAUCAAUGUACACCAUUGAAGAAAGAGGGAUUGCCUGCCAACCUUGCUACUCCUGGGAGAUCUUUAAGCUUCUGGGAGUCGAACCUUCAUAGAAGAGGCACAAAUGCAACAAGUACAGCUCCCCUCCACAAUGUGGGAAGACCAAAGAAACAGAACACCUAGCUAUGCCUAACCAUAUAGCAUAGGAAAGCUGAACAGAUUGUAUUCAAUCGUACUCACUUGAGUUCAGUAGUUGUAGAGAUGCUGUUGGAAGUCAGCAAAUGUUGAUGGUGGCACUUCAGACUGCAGGCCUUUAUAUACGGUUCUAACUGGUCACAUGGCUUUGUUAUUGAGGCAUGACAAAGGUCUUAAAUUAGUUGCUGGCAAAGAUUGGCUUCAAGCCUUGCAUCUAAAACACAUCUAAUUGCUUUACUCACUGCUCAUGAUCUAUUCUCAGGUUAUUAUACCCCAUAAAAACCUUCCUUCUUGUACAUUGAUGGCCGUAUUCUUGGUUGACUGCUAAAUCCUAUUUGACAAAAAAUAAAUCAAUGAAGCGCAUUGAUUAUGGGUGUCAUCAAACCAAGCUUUUUUCUGAGUCAGAUUCAGAUUAACAAAGUUCGUGAAGCAUGUAUGUUAUAUUUGUCUUUAAGUAUAUAUGUUUACUAAGAGCUUUUUCUCCUCUUUUGAUUGGAGGUGAAAUAGUUUAGUGGGAGAACAUCAGUUUUGCAUGCAGAAGGUCCUACCUUCUCCAGGUAGAGCUAGGAAAAACCCUGUAUGAAACCCCAGAGAGCUACUACCAUUGUACACAAUCCUGAGCUAGACAACUUGCUAUAAGGCAGUUUCCUAUGUUUGCUCCCAUGCCAUUUUUUAAAAAAAUAUUUCUUAUUAAAGAUUUUCAUGAACUAAAAAGAAUGUGUAACAUAUCUCACCUUUAUUGGGGGGGGUCAGAUUAUAAAGUAAUUUUGGUUACGUUCAAUGUAAAAUGUAAAACAAUAUAAUAUCCAAAGGUAGGGGAAGAUGGUAGAGGGUGGGAAUUUAUUCUUAUACACUAUCUUGUUGUGUCAACUUGGUACAUACGUAGGGUUUAAUGUCAGUUUCAGUUGAGUAGGUUCUCUUUAGGUAUAUUUAUUGGUUUACAUUGACGAUGAGAGAAGAUUUGGGGGCACGCGUAUUUAUUUGCCUUUUAUUGCCUCUCAUGAACUAGCUCUCAUGUCUUUUGAUGGGUUUUCUUCUGCUCUGAUUCUUGGCUGUCUCCCUGACACAAUUCCUUACACUUGGUUCCCGACUCUCCUUUCAUUGUUGCUGGAAACCCCAACCCAAGACCUGAAUUCAGUAUGCAAUCUCUCCUGUGCUUCCAGUUCAUAAAGUGCCACGUUCUAUCUCAGUGUAGCCAAGCAAUCCCUUUGAAACAUGUGCUGUUCUAAUAAAAGCUAAUUUGAUUCCAUGUGCUAGUUAACACUGAGUAUAAUCAACUAUUUAUAUCACACGCAAUCAUUCUUUUGUCUUUAGAAAUGUAGCUAUUGCAUGAUUGUCGUUGCUUCUAAAUGUGGAGCUCACACAUCUGCACCGCAGUUACAUGGUCAAGACCUCCAACUUGGCCCCCCAGAUGUUUUUGGCCUACAACUCCCAUGAUCCCUAGCUAGCAGGACCACUGGUCAGGGAUGAUGGGAAUUGUAGUUUCAAAACAUCUUGAGGGCCGAGUUUGAAGAAGCCUGACCUAGGGUAUUGCAUUGGCUUACAUAAAGGAGGAUCUAACAUCUGGGUCUUCCAGAUGUUGCUGGGCUCCAACUCUCAUCUGUCCCAUGUAUCUCUUUCACUUGCUGUUCAAAGGUGUAUUAGCACAGAAUUUCAUCUUUCCCAACCAUGCUUUUUAUUAUGUGGCCAGAGACCCAAACUCUGGGUUUGCGGUGCUCCUCUUGCUUUACAGGCUGAGGGAGCCAGCGUUUGUCCACAGACAGUUUUUCUGGGUCACGUCGCCAGCAUGACUAAGCCACUUCUGGCGCAACCAAAGCAGCACACAUAAACGCUGUUUACCUUCCCGCCGGAGUGGUACCUAUUUAUCUACUUCUACUUUGUGCUUUCGAACUGCUAGGUUGGCAGGAGCAGGGACUGAGCAACAGGAGCUCACCCCGUUGUGGGGAUUCGAACCGCCAACCUUCUGAUCAGCAAGCCCAAGAGGCUCAGUGGUUUAUACCACAGAGCCACCCAUCUCUCCUAAGAUGGGUUACAAUCAGAGAAUUGUAGAGCUGGAAGAGAUUCCUAAGGUGAACUUGUCCAACCCCACUGCAAUGCAGGAAUCGCAGUGUAGAAUCCCAGACGGAUGGCCAUCCAACCUCUGCUCAAAAACCUCCAAGGAACGAGAGUCCACAACCUUCGGAGGGAGUCCAUUCCACUGUUAAAGAGCUCUUACCACCGGAAAGUUUUUGUUAAUGUUUAAUUGGAAUCCCUCAUCCUGUAAUUUGACAUUGUUGGUUUGAGUCCUACUCCUUGGAGUAGCAGCAAACAAGCUUGCUCCAUCUUCUAUGUGAUAGACCUUUAGAUAUUUGCAGAUUACUAUCCUAUCACAUCUCAGUCUCCUCUUUUCCAGGUUAAAUAUACACAAUUCUCUCAAACGUUCCUCAUGAGGCCUGCUUUGGAGACCCUUGAUCAUUAUAUAAUAUAGAGUUGUCAUAUUUCAAAAAGUGAAAAUCCAGACACAAAUGUUUUUGAAGGGUUUUUCUUGGGGGGGAGGGCAAAGUUGUCAAGCUAUUUUAAAGGAACUACGCCAAAAUGCCAUACACCUGGAUUUUCCCAGACAUUUCAGUGAUUUCCGCAUGCACACUGUUUCCAACGGCCUAAUCUCGUUGAUGUCUGGGAUAUUGAAGACAUAUGGCGAAUCUAUUAAUGUCAGAAAAUCUAUAACACAUCUAAAUAAACUAUUAUAUGUUAAUAUGUGGAAGUCUGAGGUAGGAUAAAAUAAAUAACAUAACCAGGUUAAAAAAAGAAACCUGCAACCAGAGAAGAUAUGUUUAAACAAAGGAAAUUUCUCCAUGUUUUUGAGACAGAUGGAGAAAUGUAGCCACUGUCCAUUUAUCUGUAUUCGGCACUAAGGCGAACAUUGCUGGAUCAGGCCAAUGGCCCAUUUUAUCCAGAAUUAUCUGCCCACCAUGGCCAUUCAGAUGCUUAUAGGAGGGCCACAAACAGGGAAUGGGUGCUAUAGCUAGUUCCUGCUUUUGCUCGCCCAAAAUUCAGCUGCAAAAAAAAUCACCAACACAUGAUGUGGACAACCCAAAUUCAAUGUCUUUCUGUCCACAAGUAUCCACAUUCUUGAACCUGCCCUCGUUGUCCUCAUUUUCACUCUAGAAAGAAAACUUGAUUUGGUUACACCUAGAAGAAGUGUGCUCCACCAAUCUAUAAAAAGAAAAUCUACGUGAUAUAAUAUAGCCAACAUACUAAAUUUAGCUGAGAAUAGAUCAUAAGUAGUGAGUACAGCUAUUAGAUGUAUUUUAGGUGCAAGGCUUACAGCGAAUGUCUGCAGGCAACUAAUUGAAGACCUUUGUCAUGCCCCAAUAACAAAGCCAUGUGACCAGUUAGAACCGUAUAUAAAGGCCUGCAGUCUGAAGUGCCACCAUCAACAUUUGCUGACUUCCAACAGCAUCUCUACAACUACUGAACUCAAGUGAGUACGAUUGAAUACAAUCUGUUCAGCUUUCAUAUGUUAUAUGGUUAGGCAUAGCUAGGUGUUCUGUUUCUUUUGUCUUCUCACAUUGUGGAGGGGAGCUGUACUUGUUGCAUUUGUGCCUCUUCUAUGAAGGUUCGACUCCCAGAAGCUUAAAGAUCUCCCAGGAGUAGCAAGGUUGGCAGGCAAUCCCUCUUUCUUCAAUGGUGUACAUUGAUUUCUCAGCUCCAUUGCUUAAUUUCUUAAGGAUCAGACAAGUAUGGCAGGACUAUCGGGGAGGGGAGGGUGAUGCACAACCAUCCACUGUGUAUAUGUACUCAUGGAUUGCCUGGGAGUAUGCCUGAGGUCCAUCCAUCCAAUCCUCUCCUGUAUGUUCAAUGUUAUUCUGUUGUGUGUUUCAGAUCCCUCUCUCUCACUCAAGAUGGCCUGUUUUGGAACUUCGUGCGGUUCUGGAUGUGGCGGCGGAUCUGGUUCCGGCAGUGGUGGAGUGUUGGUUGACACUGGCAACACCUCAGCUGUGCAUGUCCAACCUGGCGGUUGCUCCCUGACAGUUCCAGGACCCCGUCUUGUCUCCCACGGCAGCUCCCAAGUGUCUUGCCGCUGUGUGUGUGCUUCCGAAUGCUGCCCACCCUCCUGCUGUGGAUCUUCUGGGGGUGGACAUGGGGGCUCUGGUCCAGGCAUGAGAGUCGAUAUGUCCUACCCAGGCUAUGAUGUGAUCAUGCCAGCAGCUUACCUGUCAAGCACUGCCCACUGUGGUAGUGUCUCCAGCUCAUGCUGCGAACCAUGCUGUGGUCCAUGUUAAACCAUUAUGAAGCGUCAUCUGUGGAUCACCGAACAUGCAAGAAGACCAUGCAACAUUACUGGGCAAAAUAGGGUUGUCUUCUCAGAGGGUUGAGCACCUUCCACUCUUGCCAUCUUGGUGGGAUUGCUGGGUCCUCAGCCUCUGUGUCUACUUUGCCUGUCAAUGUCUUUCUCUGCCUCUAUUCCAACAUUUUCCUUGUAUCUUUUCCUGCUCUUAUCAUUUACUCUUUUCUUUCAAAUAUCUUCAUUGUAAAGCCAUAACCCUCUCCACUGUGGAAGGGGAUGGUUGCUUCCUACAAACAUCUCAAUAGAUUGUACUCAUCUCUUCUUUUCUGUCAUUAAAAUCUUCAGCAAAGCAAAUGAUUUUUUCUCUCUGCUUCAUUUUUAACAUACUAUUUAUCAAUUAUAUCGUCAUACCAUGUAGACGAUGAAUGCAAUGUUGGGUGAAGAUUUCCUUGAAAUUUUCUCAGAAAGGAAUUGAUAGCAAUUUUUGAGGUGCUCCAACAUUAAGACAAGCACAAUUGUUUAGGAAGGGCCACAGUUCAGUGACAGUGCAUCUGCUUUUCAUGCAGAACAUCUCAGGGUUCAAUCCCCAAUAUCUCCACAUUAUGCUAGGUGAGUCGUACUGCCAGUAACCCUUGAUAGCCUCUUCCAGACAGUGCAGACAAAUACUGAGAUAGAUGGGAAAAUGUCUUUCCCUUGUAGAAAGUAGCUUCUUAUGCUCUGUGAGAGAUCUGGGAGAGGGGUGGCUAAUUUGUCCCUGUAGUGUCUGGCUCACAUGACCCUGGCAAGCAAAGCACCCCUUCCCACAACAGAGGACAUGGGGGAACACCAACAGGUUACCAAGCCUAGCACCUGCGCUCUGGGUACUCUGGGGAGCACAAGCACCCAGCAUGAGGUGCCUUGGGAAUAAGCGGUUUCUGUGUGGGGGCCUUGGCAGGAGCUUCAGGGUGAAUGCAGGCAAAUACAAGACUCCUUUCUUCUGCCAAGCCCAGGCCCCGUCGAGAAUUUGGCUUCAGGUAUUAGGCAGCCAGCAAUGCAGAGAACAUCAAUCAAUGGGAGAUAUUAGACGGAACCAGCCUUUCUCUCCUUGGAAGUGCACAUGGCACUUCUCCCCCCCCCCCCCAACAUGCCGGCCUGUAAGUCCAAAGUAAGAAGGAGGCUGCUGAAAAACUCUGGCUCUGGCUCAUGCUGGGUCAAGCUAGAACCAGCCAGGCUUCCUCCCUGCCCACUGAGGAGGCAGGCAGGCAGACUCUCUGGCUCUCCUUCAGAUGGUUGUGUAGUUUGCUGGAGAGAACAAGGAGGAGGUAGCAUGCUCCAAGACCACACAUGCAACUGGAGGUGGAAGAUGGGAAAGAGGAUGCAAGGUGAGGAGACACAAUUUUCCCUUUCACCUCAGGCAGCAAAAUUUCUUUGGCCGGCCUUCUCAGUAGCAGUGCGUUUGCUUUUCAUGCUGUCCCUGGAGUCUUGCCAAAUACAAGGCGGUUCUUUUAAAAUGGGAUUCAGAGGUGUUAUAGGAAUUCUAAGGCCAUUCUGAAGCCAUUUUGACUCUCCCAUAUUGACCUCAAAUAUUUCUCAGCAAGGAGGAAGGAAAGGGGAAAAGCUUUCCAAUUGUCUUUGGACUUUAGGGGCUUACAGCUCCCUGUAAAUACAGUCUGGCAAGUAUGUGUUAAGCUGAGCACACUACCAAUAUGUGUAAGACAUUCAGGAACUAAGUACACCGGUACCUCGAGUUACAAACAUCUCAGGUUACAAAUGCUUUAGGUUACAAACUCUGCUAACCUGGAAGAGUGACCUUGAGUUGGGAACUCUGCCCCAGGAUGAGAACGGAAAUUGUGUGCCGGUGGCACAGCGGAAGCAAGAGGCCCCAUUAACGAAAGCAUGCCUCUAGUUAAGAACAGUUUCAGGUUAAGAACGGACCUCUGGAAUGAAUUAAGUUCAUAACUAGAAGUACCACUGUAAGGUAUUGUUGGGUAUCCUGGCAGACAGGAAGGAAGCAACACACUCAAAUUUCUGCUGGGAACCACCUCUUUCUGUGAUGUAUGUAUGAUGUUUCUGGGGGUGGUCUUGAGCUACAGCAGGGGUCAGCAAACUUUUUCAGCAGGGGGCCGGUCCACUAUCCUUCACGCCUUGUGGGGGGCUGGACUAUAUUUUGGGGGGAAAAAUAAUAGACAAAUUCCUAUGCACACUGCCACUGGUGGAGGAAGAGGAGCAAGGGGGGAGGGCACCGCCACCGGCGGCGUGAUCCCAGUCGGGUGCUAUCACAGCUGCUCCCCCACCUGAGCUAGGCGCCACACCCCCAGGAUGUGUGCCAUGCCCACAGGAUGAGCACCCGCCCCACCCCACCUGCUCUCCGCCCCCUGGUGCUGGAGCAUGAAGCUCUGCCACUGUACACUGCAUAUAUUGCAUUUGUAGUACAGAAAAAACCGUGGAAAGCAGUGCAAUAUUUAAAAUGAAGAACAAUUUUAAUCAACAUGAACUUAUAAGUAUUUCAAUGGGAAGUAUGGGCCUGUUUUUGGCUAACAAGAUGGUCAAUAUAAUUAGUUUGCUAAUAGGAGGGGUUGCCCCUCCUCCACAGCCAGCCUGGAAAAGCACACCACUAGCCUCUUAGUAGGUUAAUAAGAGCAUCUGCAGGUUCAUCAUUUUUGCAGCCUUAUUUACAAUGCUGUAUUUCUUCCUCAAAAAAAGACUGGAAAUUACCAGUUUCCACUUUACUUCAGAGGCUUCUUACUACAUCAGUACACUAUGCAGUUGCCCCCCCCCCCAUAAAGUAAGUAAAUAAAAAUACUUAAAGUAGAAAUUGUAGGAAGAUUUUGACAGAUUUUUUUCCUAAGCACUUGAGGUCAAAAGAAAGCAAUUUAAAGCAACAGUUGUUGGGGCAUUUCAUUCUAAAUCUGCUAGACAGAGCCUGCCUUCCAGAGGAUGAUGACGACAGGUGGGUGUCCUGCCAGUCAGAAUCUCCACUCAGCCAAGUUGAUAAAGCCUCAUCUUUGGGCCGAGUCUCCGAAAUCGCCUCUGACGAAUAAUUAACGACCUCGAGCCUUUGAUGAGGCUCCAAGGCACAUUUUUCAUCCAGCAGAGUUCCCAGCACAGGGAAGAGACGAUGGGUUGGCUACAUGCUAUGCUUUAUUUCUAAGCUACGCAGACAGCAAAAGAAAAGUACAUCCUCUCUCUUUGAAAGCAGAGAGCAACUGGACAAAGGAACAAAGGAAACAGGAAAGCACUGACGUCACAUCCCGUCUCCCUUUCCCGUGAGACUGGAAGGUCUCUGGAAUGUAAACAGAGUCCUGUGACUCCAAGCAGCUGCUCAGUGGCAAAACAGAAACUAACACUGCCACCCACCAAACCCCAACAUAAAUCCUGAGAUUGAUACUUGGUGGUUCCUGUAGCAGAAAGGAGAAUUUGGCCACUGUGUGUGCAUGUAUCGGCUUAUGUUGGGAUGGUAGAAGAGCGAGGUAAAUCUAAGGCGGCUGUACCAAUGAAAAGACACAUCGGUGUUUACCUAAGCACGGCAUGGGAACUGACUGAGUGGGCACCGCGGUGAGGUAAAUUGUGGGAAUGGCGAAGGCACCCCCACCUCAGCAUAAGAUAAGCCACAGCUUGUCUAGCCACCAUGCCCACUUUCUGACCUUUUCUCCCUUGCAGAAAGAUUUGCUUAAUGUUUCACUUGGCUGGAGCGUGGUGGGUGGGUCAGACUUUGCCUAACGUCAAGGGAAGCACCUGUCUGACACGUGUAUCACUAAAGCUGGAAAUGUGCCUUGCUGGAAAUAUAUUAAGUUCAGGGUAGUUUCACUACUGUUUCCAAUUGAUGACUUGUGCUAAUAAAAGAGGCUCUGCAAAGCUAGCCGGCAGCUUGCUUGCUCCUGCACAGCUCACAUGCAUUCAACUCCCGUGUCAUCCUGCCAUAUUUCUACAGUAAAUGUUGAGGCGACCUUUCAGCCUUGGAUUCUUUGUAGGUUCUCAAGUGGCCAUGUGGUGCAGAUUCGUGACCCUUUUGGGCUGCAGGCCGUAGUUUGCCGACCUAUGAGCUACAGGGUAGGCAAUUUAAAAAUUCUCUAUAAGAGCUUGCACAUCAAUGUUCUGGGUUCCUCUCCUCCCUGGGUGGGGCGAGUGGGGGACAUUCUGCAGGCUGUUGGUGGUCCCCCAUGUCCGCUGUUGUGGGAAGAGGUGCUUUCCUUGCCAGGGUCAUGUGAGCCCGACACUACAGGGACAAAAGACAACUUAGCCAACCCUCUCCCAGCUCCCUCACAGAGCAUAAGAAGAUACUUUCUACAAAGGCAAGACAUUGUUCCAUCUAUCUCAGUAUUUGUCUGCACUGUCUGGAAGCUGCUAUCCAGGGUUUCUGGCAGAACAACUCACCUAGCAUAAUGUGGAGAUAUUGGGGAUUGAACCCUGAGGUAUUCUGCAUGAAAACCAGAUGCCUUGUCACUGAACUGCGGCCCUUACUCAACAUGUGUGCUUGUCUUAAUGUUGGAGCACCUCAAAAGUUGCUAUCAAUUCCUUUCUGAGGAAAUUUCACAGAAAUGUGCACCCAACAUUGCAUUCAUCGUCUACGUGGUAUGACGAUAUAAUUGAUAAAUAGUAUGUUAAAAAUGAAGCAGAGAGAAAAAUCAUUUGCUUUGCUGAAGAUUUUAAUGACAGAAAAGAAGAGAUGAGUACAAUCUAUUGAGAUGUUUGUAGGAAGCAACCAUUCCCUUCCACAGGGGAGAGGGUUAUGGCUUUACAAUGAAGAUAUUUGAAAGUAAAGAGUAAAUGAAAAGAACAGGAAAAGAUACGAGGAAAAUGUUGGAAUAGAGGCAGAGAAAGACAUUGCCAGGCAAAGUAGACACAGAGGCUGAGGACCCAGCAAUCCCACCAAGAUGGCAAGAGUGGAAGGUGCUCAACCCUCUGAGAAGACAACCCUAUUUUGCCCAGUAAUGUUGCAUGGUCUCCUUGCAUGUUCGGUGACCCACAGAUGACGCUUCAUAAUGGCUUAACAUGGACCACAGCAUGGUUCACAGCAUGAGCUGGAGACACUACCACAGUGGGCAGUGCUUGACAGGUAAGCUGCUGGCAUGAUCACAUCAUAGCCUGGGUAGGACAUAUCGACUCUCAUGCCUGGACCAGAGCCCCCAUGUCCACUCCCAGAAGACCCACAGCAGGAGGGUGGGCAGCAUUCGGAAGCACACACAGUGCGGCAAGACACUUGGGAGCUGCCGUGGGAGACAAGACGGGGUCCUGGAACCGUCAGGGAGCAACCGCCGGGUUGGACAUGCACAGCUGAGGUGUUGCCAGUGUCAACCAACACUCCACCACUGCCGGAACCAGAUCCGCCGCCACAUCCAGAACCGCACGAACUUCCACAACAGGCCAUCUUGAGUGAGAGAGAGGGAUCUGAAACACACAACAGAAUAACAUUGAACAUACAGGAGAGGAUUGGAUGGAUGGACCUCAGGCAUACUCCCAGGCAAUCCAUGAGUACAUAUACACAGUGUAUGGUUGUGAAUCACCCUCCCCUCCCCGAUAGUCCUGCCAUACUUUUCUGAUCCUUAAGAAAUUAAGCAAUGGAGCUGAGAAAUCAAUGGACACCAUUGAAGAAAGAGGGAUUGCUUGCCAACCUUGCUACUCCUGGGAGAUCUUUAAGCUUCUGGGAGUCGAACCUUCAUAGAAGAGGCACAAAUGCAACAAGUACACCUCCCCUCCACAAUGUGGGAAGACCAAAGAAACAGAACACCUAGCUAUGCCUAACCAUAUAACAUAUGAAAGCUGAACAGAUUGUAUUCAAUCGUACUCACUUGAGUUCAGUAGUUGUAGAGAUGCUGUUGGAAGUCAGCAAAUGUUGAUGGUGGCACUUCAGACUGCAGGCCUUUAUAUACGGUUCUAACUGGUCACAUGGCUUUGUUAUUGGGGCAUGACAAAGGUCUUCAAUUAGUUGCCUGCAGACAUUCGCUGUAAGCCUUGCACCUAAAAUAC